GUCACCUGCUUCUACACUGGCUCUUUGUCUUACACUCUGCAGACUGGUUGCACUCUGUCUGUCUGUGUGACCCUUUGCAAAGAAUAAAACCCUUAAAAGACGUCUGGAUUGGACUCUUUGUUUCAGAAGACUCACUAAAGGACAAAUUUCCAUUACAUUUGGUGUCAGAAGUGGGAUGGUUUGGCAAAGUUUGUCUGGGACCUGAGACGGCCGGCGACUGAUCAGCCUGGAGUAAAGUGUCUCAGCCUCCACCUCGCUGACUUAAGAGACGGGAGGGUCGACCGUCCGCGCCCCGGACCGUCGCCACUACCAUCUCAAAUAAGAGUUAAGUUAUUAGUAAAUGCUGAUGAGCCUGAACAGCCUACAUUGGUGAUGAAUGAGAAGCACCAAGAGUUUUAGAAAGUGUCAUUUAAACCUAGCAGGGGACAAUGCUGCUACAUGAUAUGUUGAAAACAGCCCCAGAGAGGGGCAGGUUGCAUAUAUGGUAUCAUGUUGAUGAAUUCUGAUGACAUAGUUGCUAAACACUUAUUUCAGUUAUCAGAGCACUAAUGAGUGACGCCACUGCACACACAGACACAUAGACACACACACAUAGACACACACACACACACACACACACACAGACACACACACACACACACACAUAGACACACACACACACACACAGGAACAUGCAGACAGACUCGUUACUCUGCACAAUACACAAUUCUGAUGGACAGGAUGCAACAAGUUUUAAUUAUUUAUGGAAGAGGGACAGUGGAAGAAAAAAAAAGAGAGAGAACUAUUGCAACAUAUUAUCUGGACAAGGAGGCUGUGCUGUUGUUUUGUUUCUUCUUCUCCUUCUCUGAUCUUAGCUGUACCGAGGGGGAAGUAUACACAUGGCGAAGCAAAGCCAAGUGAUUUGCAAACGGAUGGAUUUGGGGAUAAAGUCCACCCGGAGUUGGCUGACUGACAACAGGCCCGCUGCAGUGACCUGUACGCACCCACAUUUUCACAAAAGAUUAUGAUGAAGGCCGACCAGCAGAGCGACAGAGUGCUGCAGGUUAAAGAGGCCCUACCCUCUCCAGCGACAGAACCACUGCACAGUCUCCUAGAGUCUCCUUUUGUGGUGGUUAAGGACUUCAGAAGAAAGCACUGGAAGGCGCAGAGGUGGAAAGGUGCUCCUGACAACAUACACAGCGGUAAAAGUGGCUGAAAGAGCUACGUGGAUUCACGCCAGCCACUGCAGGAAGGUGCCUGCACCAGUACAACAAUAGAUCAACAAGCGUGCACAAUCAGCACCUCGUGUUGUGAGCGAAGGAGGGAUUGGGAACGCUUAGGCACCCUUUGUCUCGGACUCACAGGCUGUUAGACAGCAAACAUCAGCACAAGGGAGCUAGUGGGAAAACUCCUGGUCUCUCUUGGGGCGGCUGUGGCU